AGAAUCAACGCUGGCGGCGUGCCUAACACAUGCAAGUCGAACGAGAAAGUGGAGCAAUCCAUGAGUACAGUGGCGUACGGGUGAGUAACACGUGACUAACCUACCCUCGAGUGGGGAAUAACCUCGGGAAACCGGGGCUAAUACCGCAUAACAUCUACGGAUCAAAUGCGUAAGCAGCUUGAGGAGGGGGUCGCGGCUGAUUAGCUAGUUGGCGGGGUAAUGGCCCACCAAGGCGGUGAUCAGUAGCCGGCCUGAGAGGGCGCACGGCCACACUGGAACUGAAACACGGUCCAGACUCCUACGGGAGGCAGCAGUGGGGAAUUUUGCGCAAUGGGGGAAACCCUGACGCAGCAACGCCGCGUGGAGGAUGAAGCCCCUUGGGGUGUAAACUCCUUUCGAUCGGGACGAUUAUGACGGUACCGGAUGAAGAAGCACCGGCUAACUCUGCGCCAGCAGCCGC
rnacentral:rRNA from 1 species